GUGCUCACUUCAGCAGCACAUAUACUAAAAUUGGAAUGGUUACAGAGAAGAUUCACACGGCCCCUGCACAAGGAUGACAUGCAAAUUCGUGAUCCUUUUUUUUUUUUA
ensembl:snRNA U6 U6 spliceosomal RNA